rnacentral:rRNA from 1 species
GGAAAAGAAACUAACAAGGAUUCCCCUAGUAACGGCGAGUGAAGCGGGAAGAGCUCAAAUUUGAAAUCUUAAAGGGUUUCCCUUUACGAAUUGUAGUUUAAAGAAGUGUUUUCUGUUGAGGUUUUGGUAAAAGUUCUUUGGAAUAGGACAUCAUAGAGGGUGAGAAUCCCGUAUUUGACCUUUACUUUCAACUUUGUGAUACACUUUCAAAGAGUCGGAUUGUUUGGGAAUGCAGUCCAAAAUGGGUGGUAAAUUUCAUCUAAAGCUAAAUAUUGGCGAGAGACCGAUAGCGAACAAGUACCGUGAGGGAAAGAUGAAAAGAACUUUGAAAAGAGAGUUAAACAGUACGUGAAAUUGUCAAAAGGGAAGCGUUUGACACCAGUGUUGUUUUUCUGAAAAUCAAUUAAAGAACUGUUUAUGCUAAGYUGUUUAGACUUUAUCAGCUAUCUGUUUAGUUUUGAGCUUUUCUUUAAUGCACUUUUCAGUUAACAAGUCAACAUCAAUUUCUUUUGCUGUAAAAAAGCUUGAGGAAGGUGGCUUGAGAUUCGUCUUAAGUGUUUAUAGCCUCUUGCCUAUGCAGUCGGAGAGAUUGAGGUCUGCAGCGUAGAUCCUUCGGGGCUAAAUGCAUUUGUGCUAAGUUAUAGCAUUUUAUAGACAACUUGUUGACUAUGAUUUGUCUUGUAGCUUA